ensembl:snRNA U1 U1 spliceosomal RNA
AUACUUCCAUGGCAGGGGAGAUACCAUGAUCAUGAAGGUGGUUUUCCAAGGAUAAGGCUAAUCCAUUGCACUCUGGAUGUACUGACCCCUGCCAUUUCCCCAAAUGUGGGAAACUUGACCGCAUAAUUUGUGGUAGCGGGGGACUGCAUUUGUGCUCUCCCUUG